UUUUGUUACAUGAUGAUUUCAUAGUUCAUCUGAUUGCUGUGAUGCAUUACUGUUAUGUCUUUCGCUCCUAUCUGAUUGAAUUA
rnacentral:snoRNA from 1 species